CUCAGUAGCCUGCUGAGGGCAGAUAUAGUGGAUAUGGGUAUCGAUUCCUCCGGCUGUGACGAUCAUUCCUUCGCCGGCCAUAACAUCCGUGCAGGAGCCGACUAUCAUCCCUUCGGUGACUCCAUCCAUCACAUCGGGACUGCCUGCUUUCCCAAUGCCGGAGAUGAAUCCAUUCUUGAUGCCGAUAUCUGCCUUAUAAAUACCACUCCAAUCAACAAUAAGAGCGUUGAUGAUGACAAGAUCCAACGAGUCUUCAUCGGACUCGCCAGUGGUUUGGCCCAUACCGUCACGAAGAG
rfam:Pseudogymnoascus pannorum VKM F-4513 (FW-928) contig_1322, whole genome shotgun sequence.